GUGCCUUCGGGAGCUCUGAGACAGGUGCUGCAUGGCUGUCGUCAGCUCGUGUUGUGAAAUGUUGGGUUAAGUCCCGCAACGAGCGCAACCCUUAUCCUUGUUUGCCAGCGAGUAAUGUCGGGAACUCCAGGGAGACUGCCGGUGAUAAACCGGAGGAAGGUGGGGACGACGUCAAGUCAUCAUGGCCCUUACGAGUAGGGCUACACACGUGCUACAAUGGCGCAUACAGAGGGCAGCAAGCUAGCGAUAGUGAGCGAAUCCCAAAAAGUGCGUCGUAGUCCGGAUUGGAGUCUGCAACUCGACUCCAUGAAGUCGGAAUCGCUAGUAAUCGUGAAUCAGAAUGUCACGGUGAAUACGUUCCCGGGCCUUGUACACACCGCCCGUCACACCAUGGGAGUGGGCUGCAAAAGAAGUGGGUAGUUUAACCUUUCGGGGAGGACGCUCACCACUUUGUGGUUCAUGACUGGGGUGAAGUCGUAACAAGGUAGCCCUAGGGGAACCUGGGGCUGGAUCACCUCCUUA
rnacentral:rRNA from 1 species